AAGGUCUUAAGUUAUAAAAACUGCAGGCCUUCAAAGCCUGAAAUAAAGAAGAAUUCUUUAGUCCUUG
rnacentral:tRNA from 2 species